GAUGAACGCUGGCGGCGUGCCUAAUACAUGCAAGUCGAGCGAACAGACGAGGAGCUUGCUCCUCUGAUGUUAGCGGCGGACGGGUGAGUAACACGUGGAUAACCUACCUAUAAGACUGGGAUAACUUCGGGAAACCGGAGCUAAUACCGGAUAAUAUAUUGAACCGCAUGGUUCAAUAGUGAAAGACGGUUUUGCUGUCACUUAUAGAUGGAUCCGCGCUGCAUUAGCUAGUUGGUAAGGUAACGGCUUACCAAGGCAACGAUGCAUAGCCGACCUGAGAGGGUGAUCGGCCACACUGGAACUGAGACACGGUCCAGACUCCUACGGGAGGCAGCAGUAGGGAAUCUUCCGCAAUGGGCGAAAGCCUGACGGAGCAACGCCGCGUGAGUGAUGAAGGUCUUCGGAUCGUAAAACUCUGUUAUUAGGGAAGAACAAAUGUGUAAGUAACUAUGCACGUCUUGACGGUACCUAAUCAGAAAGCCACGGCUAACUACGUG
rnacentral:rRNA from 1 species